GGACUACCCGGGUUUCUAAUCCUGUUUGCUCCCCACGCUUUCGCACCUGAGCGUCAGUACCGGGCCAGUGAGCCGCCUUCGCCACUGGUGUUCUUCCGAAUAUCUACGAAUUUCACCUCUACACUCGGAGUUCCACUCACCUCUCCCGGACUCAAAGAUCGCCAGUAUCAAAGGCAGUUCCGAGGUUGAGCCUCGGGAUUUCACCCCUGACUUAACGAUCCGCCUGCGUGCGCUUUACGCCCAGUGAUUCCGAACAACGCUAGCCCCCUUCGUAUUACCGCGGCUGCUGGCAC
rnacentral:rRNA from 1 species